rnacentral:lncRNA from 1 species
CGGAGUCCUAGCCUGGAGUGAAGGAGACGACUUUAUGCAACCAUUCGCUUAGAGACUGGGAAAAAAAACGAUUUAAAUUGACUCAUCGAUUCUGUUGCAUCUAAUGCCAAAAGGGCCUAUUACCAGAAAAUAAGUUUGUAGCAAAGUAGAAGAAAAUUGUGAUCAGACACCUUCAGCAGUAAACAAGAUAAAACAACUUCUUAAAGAUAAGCCUGAGCAUGUAGGUGUAAAAGUUGGUGUCCGAACCAGGGGCUGUAAUGGCCUUUCUUAUACUCUAGAAUAUACAAAGACAAAAGGAGAUUCUGAUGAAGAAGUUAUUCAAGAUGGUGAGUUUUUAACAAACAUUUUUUGGGCACAUUGUUUUGCCUAAAAUUAUUAGCCUUGCACAGCACAAAGUAAAAAAUAA